UGCUCUCCGAGCCUAUUUGCCUAAGGCCCACGCUACGGCAAAUCGGCCGUGCUGCCGUGACAGCACCAGGGUAUGCCGGGAAACCUGCAUGCCCCCCGCACUUGGAAAGGAGAC
rnacentral:ncRNA from 1 species